UUCAUAAUUUCCAGUAAAAAAGUUAAUUUUGAAAGUGAAAAAUAUGUUACAAUACAAUAGACCUGCAAAUACCAUAUACGCAAGUUUUGAACAAAUAUCACACAUAUUCCCCAGUUGACUUGUGAUGAUAUUGAUAAUGGUGGUGGUGGUGUUAUCAUGUACAUGGCUUCUAACGUAGUAAAUGUUUUCUUUUCAGCAACAUUCAAUAGAUUUAUUUACUGUAUUAUCAUUUCGACCAAGGCGAAUUCGACACUUCAAUUACACAAGCACAAUCAAACUUAGUCAUUCCAGUCAGUUACUGAAGCACAGCGAAAACUGUCUGAAUUAGUGCUGCUGAUGGCAUGUAAUUACUCUACUACCACUACCAGUGACAGUCAAUGUCCAUAUAUUUUCAAGUGUGCGAAAUUAGUACUCGUCUACUUCUUAGUGUUAUUUGAAUGCAAUGUAUGUUAUAAAAAUAUUUUUUCAACACUAUAUCAACAUUCUCAUUCCUGUCAGUUUCUGAAAAUCAGCUAAAGCAAUCGCUACCAAUGCAGCUGAUAACAGCAAUUCUUUUUGUUCCCAAUGCCCAUCCAUGACAAUAUAUUUCACGCAUGUGACAAUCAUGUAAUCAUCCUGUUUUUUGUGUUCUAUUCAUGCAAUAAAUAAAUUCAGUAUUUUCAAAUCAUUGGUGCUACAAAACUAUUCUCAUUAUAGAUUAUUCAUAUUUUAUAAAAUGCUGUCAUGUCAAAUUUUGUGUCCUAUAAAUCAUUAUGAAGUCGGCAUUUUAUAUACAACUUUUGUACUCCUCCUAAAUAAACAUACAAAUCUUGUUUUAUGUAAACUUUGUAUAUGUGACCCGUCACAGCAAAACCAGGCGCAUGUCGCUCUGAGCUUGGCAGGUUGAGACGGACUGUUUGUUCAUUUAUCUAUUGUCUGCCUUUUGUAAAAUAUGAGCACAUCAAUUUCUUCCAUUAUCUCCUGGUGUCAUUUAGGCUCAUCUUCUGUGCGACAUGUACCUGGUUUUGCUGUGACGGGUCACAUAUUCUAUAGAUAUACAACACUCUAAUGUCACAAUGCCUCUCUCACUCGCUUUUAUAUAGCAAGAUGUAUGAAUAAACAUGACACACCAACUAUGUACAAAAUUGCUAACAAACUGCACCAUUUGUCAGUACACCACAUGAAAUACAGAGAUAUGUCUUAAUUCUAAUCAUUCAUUAGCGACACCAUUUCUUACCCGAGUGCCUCCUUCAUUCAUACAUCUUGUACUUUAACUCAAGAUACCCAUCAUUGAAUAUUUUUAGUAUACCAAGUACUACAAUGUCAAUGUAUUGAAGUCAUGUUCUUGUAGUGUUAUUGGCUUUCUAUUAUCUUGUCAAAAUACCACUUGGUUCUCGCAAAAUCUCAAUAAAAACAAAUGCUAUUGCAUAUAUUGCAUAUUCUAACAGCUAUCCACUGUAUCGAUUUAUCCAUCAUCUGUACUAUUUGUCACAAAAAUGUUAUAUUAUGUAAAUCAUAUUUCAUUACAUAAUGCACACUGCCAAUUACUGCUGAACCAUUCAUAUGUCAUUUAAAUAAAUAAUUUUCAACUUUUUAAAA